GUUUUUAAUGAUUUUAAAAAGGAAACAGCUCUCUUUCGAGACUAAAAUUUUAAGCUCAGCCCGAGCGGAAACUUGCUAUGUAAAAUAAUUUCAGCUCGGUUAACUGGAUUGGAAUUCAGUCUGGGUUGAAACGUCUUCAUGCAAUUGGCCUCCCAUACAUCUUUUAUUACGUAAAUGUGUGCUGCCUUUUCCCUUUCAAUGCUAAUGCUAAACAAAUCAAUUGCCCUUGUCUAUACAAUUACUGCUAUGACUAUAUGUUCUUAUUUAUUUAAGGAAUAUUUCACACUUAUUUAUUUAAUUAUAUA